AUUUAUAUAUGUAAAAAUUUAUAACAUAGUAUGCAGAAAUAUAUAAAAUAUCUAGUGUAAAAUAUUUAGAUUCCACUUCUUUAGUUAUAUUCGUAAAAAUUGUAUGAAUAUCAACAGUUUUCUAGUAACGGAUCCUGUGAUCUGUUUCUUCUUUAUUGUUUCGUACUUUCUCGGAGCUUAAUUCGCAAACACGCUGAGAUUCGUUAAGUAGCCGAUCUGCUAGUUCCUGCUGUGCUUCAGAACAUCGAUACCUAAUCAAUUGAAGUUAAAUACUCGUACCUGUGGCGAUUAUUUAGAUGCCAUUGAUGCAAACUAAAUUUCAAUGGAGGCGGUGGAGCUAUUUCAGGCGGUUGUUUGUUCGGCAUUGUAUUUUCCAAUUUUGAAAAUACUGUUGUGCUUCUGAAGGAUCAACGCUCUUUUAAAGAGGCGGGUUCACAGGUUUGAUCUAUAUAUGGAUGAAUCAGCGCAAGGAUGGUUUCCAUGGAAACAUUUAACCUAUUAAGAAAUGGUUUAUUUUAAUUCAUUCGCAAUGAGGAAAUUAUAUACUAAGCAUAAGACAUUGCCUGUAGCGAAAUAAAUCAUAUACUCUAUAUUAAU